AGAGUUUGAUCCUGGCUCAGAACGAACGCUGGCGGCGUGCCUAACACAUGCAAGUCGAACGCGAAAGCAGACUUCGGUCUGCGAGUAGAGCGGCGAACGGCUGCGGAACACGUUGGAACCUGCCCCAGACUCAGGGAUAACUCACCGAAAGGUGGGCUAAUACCGGAUGGUCUCGUAAGAGUAAAGCUUUUGCGGUCUGGGAGGGGCCUGCGGCCUAUCAGCUUGUUGGUAAGGUAACGGCUUACCAAGGCUAUGACGGGUAGCUGAUCUGAGAGGAUGAUCAGCCAGAAUGGGACUGAGACACGGCCCAUACUCCUACGGGAGGCAGCAGUGAGGAAUAUUCCGCAAUGGGGGAAACCCUGACGGAGCGACACCGCGUGAAGGAUGACGCCCUUUUCGGGUGUAAACUUCUGUUCUGAGGGACGAAAUUUUUGACGUACCUCAGGAGAAAGCACCGCUAAUU
rnacentral:rRNA from 1 species